rnacentral:rRNA from 1 species
UAUAUCGGAACGUGCCCAGUCGUGGGGGAUAACGUAGAGAAAUUUACGCUAAUACCGCAUACGAUCUAAGGAUGAAAGCGGGGGACUCGCAAGAGCCUCGCGCGAUUGGAGCGGCUGAUAUCAGAUUAGGUUGUUGGUGAGGUAAAAGCUCACCAAGCCGACGAUCUGUAGCUGGUUUGAGAGAACGACCAGCCACACUGGGACUGAGACACGGCCCAG